GGCUCCGACUUCUCCCACCCGCGGCUGGCUCAGCUUUCCUGCCGGGAGGGGAGCGGCGGCUUGCUCGCUGGCCGGCUCGGGCCGCGGCGUCGCGCCGCUAGUAGUCGGGCGCUGUAGCUCUCGGCGCGGCCGGCUGAGCCCCGGGGAGGCGGGAAUUCACGGCUGCGGCUCCGCGGUCAUGCUGCUUGCGGAGAUACACUCCAAGAAGAUGAAUUUUUGGUUCCCCCAACGCCUAAUUCUGAUGCUUCAUCAUGGCCAGGAAGUGAUGUUGUCAGGGAAGCAUAAUCUCUGGCAAGACUUCUCAAGCUGAAAAGACUUCAAAUCCAAAUAGUCUCUAUACCUGCUGUCUGAGGCACAACCAAAGUUAGUUUGGAGCAGCUUAUCAAGCCAGCAAAUUGGGAGUCCUUCCUUGGGAAUGAAGGUGGGGGUGAUCAUCUGCAAUGUCUGAGGAAUACCUACCUUGAUGAAACCGCAGAACUUCUCGUGUUUCCUUCUAGCACAGUAUGAAACUGCUAACUACUCUAUUCACCUCUCAGAGGAGCACCUAUCUGUCACCCUUGCUGUUGGACAGAGCCAGAACCUGAAUUCUGAGGUACCUGUGAUUUGAAGAUUUGAAGAACAUACCCUCAUGUGUGGUCAUCUAUGAGAAAAUUUGAGCUGCCACUGUUUCAUAUCCUUUUGACUUACCACAAUAAACAUCUUUGGGCUUUAGGAGAAUGGCUUUUUCUCCCUGUAAAUUUGUUUUUUAAAAAAGUAUAUAUUAAAGAGUGUUCUUCUCUGUGUCCCUGCAUUUUGCACCUUUGGAAGUUUCCUUUUUUGCUAUCCCUGGUCCCAAACUGUUUUCAAAAUUUCCCAGAUGGCCUGUGGGUGCAGCUUUAGAUUUCUUAGAACAAAAAUGAUAAUAGAUAA